UUAAUUAUGAUAAAUAAUAUUUAUAUUAGCAAUAUAUAUGUUUUAAAAUAAACUAAAUUAAAAUAUUAAUAAUAAAA
rnacentral:tRNA from 1 species